ACCUGGCUGGCUCAGUUGGUGGAGCAUGUGACUCUGGAUCUCAGGGUCCAGAGUUCAAGCCCUGUGUUGGGUG
rnacentral:tRNA from 1 species